GUCUAAGGCAAUUUAUAGUCACGGAUGACCCUUGCGUGUUCCAGAGUUUGAGGACAGAGUAAUUUAGGGGUGUACAUCCCUAAAAACCAAGAAGACCAUUACAAAGCAAGAGGUGAAUAGACACACAGGCUACCAACGUACAGGAGUGCUUUAAUAUAGAAGAGGAACAAAAUAGGAGAAAGUUUUCUUGGCCUGAAGAAGAUAUCCAGUGAAGAUUAGCAGAGAGGACUGGAGAGGGUAUUCCAAGGGUAGAGGGCAAUAAAACAAAAUGUGGGAAUUAUGUCAAAAUGAACAUAUUUCGAAGAUCGUCUCACUCCAGUGUUUUCCCCCAUGUGGAAGACUAGAGAAAGAGGCCAGUCCCAGGUGGGUCCUUAAAAUUUUUUGAAAAACUUCUCUCACUUCCAUCUGGUCUCUUCUUUUCCUCUCCUAGGAUUUUUUAGGGAUUUGUGAAGGGAGGACUCAAGGAGGUUGGGCUUAGAUAUGCUUU
ensembl:lncRNA